GAGUUUGAUCAUGGCUCAGGACGAACGCUGGCGCGUGCUUAACACAUGCAAGUCGAGCGAUGAAGCUUCCUUCGGGAAGUGGAUUAGCGGCGGACGGGUGAGCAACACGUGGGCAACCUGCCUUAUAGAGGGGAAUAGCCUUCCGAAAGGAAGAUUAAUACCGCAUAACAUUACAUUUUCGCAUGAAGAAGUAAUUAAAGGAGUAAUCCGCCAUAAGAUGGGCCCGCGGCGCAUUAGCUAGUUGGUGAGGUAACGGCUCACCAAGGCGACGAUGCGUAGCCGACCUGAGAGGGUGAUCGGCCACAUUGGGACUGAGACACGGCCCAGACUCCUACGGGAGGCAGCAGUGGGGAAUAUUGCACAAUGGGGGAAACCCUGAUGCAGCAACGCCGCGUGAGUGAUGAAGGUCUUCGGAUCGUAAAGCUCUGUCUUCAGGGACGAUAAUGACGGUACCUGAGGAGGAAGCCACGGCUAACUACGUGCCAGCAGCCGCGGUAAUAC
rnacentral:rRNA from 1 species